CAGUCGCCGCGGGAAUACGUAGGGUGCAAGCGUUAAUCGGAAUUACUGGGCGUAAAGCGUGCGCAGGCGGUUUGUUAAGACAGAUGUGAAAUCCCCGGGCUUAACCUGGGAACUGCAUUUGUGACUGGCGGGCUAGAGUAUGGCAGAGGGGGGUAGAAUUCCACGUGUAGCAGUGAAAUGCGUAGAGAUGUGGAGGAAUACCGAUGGCGAAGGCAGCCCCCUGGGCCAAUACUGACGCUCAUGCACGAAAGCGUGGGGAGCAAACAGGAUUAGAUACCCCUGUAGUCCCUGUCUCUUAUAC
rnacentral:rRNA from 1 species